rnacentral:rRNA from 1 species
AUUGAACGCUGGCGGCAGGCUUAACACAUGCAAGUCGAGCGGAGAUGAGGUGCUUGCACCUUAUCUUAGCGGCGGACGGGUGAGUAAUGCUUAGGAAUCUGCCUAUUAGUGGGGGACAACAUUCCGAAAGGAAUGCUAAUACCGCAUACGUCCUACGGGAGAAAGCAGGGGAUCUUCGGACCUUGCGCUAAUAUAUGAGCAUAAGUCGGAUUAGCUGGUUGGUGGGGUAAAGGCCUACAAAGGCGACAAUCGGGCGCGGGUCUGAGAGGAUGAUCCGCCACACUGGGACGGAGACACGGCCCAGACUCCUACGGGAGGCAGCAGUGGGGAAUAUUGGACAAUGGGGGGAACCCUGAUCCAGCCAUGCCGCGUGUGUGAAGAAGGCCUUAUGGUUGUAAAGCACUUUAAGCGAGGAGGAGGCUACUGAGACUAAUACUCUUGGAUAGUGGACGUUACUCGCAGAAUAAGCACCGGCUAACUCUGUGCCAGCAGCCGCCGUAAAAC